rnacentral:rRNA from 1 species
UAAGACGAACCGUGCGAACGUUGUUCGGAUUCACUGGGCUUAAAGGGCGCGUAGGCGGGCAAGCAAGUCCGGGGUGAAAUCUUUCGGCUUAACCGGAAAAGUGCCUUGGAUACUGCUUGUCUCGAGGGAGGUAGGGGUCUGCGGAACUUCCGGUGGAGCGGUGAAAUGCGUUGAUAUCGGAAGGAACGCCGGUGGCGAAAGCGGCGGACUGGACCUCUUCUGACGCUGAGGCGCGAAAGCCAGGGGAGCAAACGGGAUUAGAUACCCCGGUAGUCCUGGCCCUAAACGAUGGGUACUAGGUUGUGGACUUUCAUGGGUUCACAGCCGAAGCAAAAGUGAUAAGUACCCCGCCUGGGGAGUAUGGUCGCAAGGCUG